AACGAACGCUGGCGGCAUGCCUAACACAUGCAAGUCGAACGAGACCUUCGGGAGUAGUGGCGCACGGGUGCGUCACGCGUGGGAACCUGCCCUUAGGUUCGGAAUAACUCUCCGAAAGGGGUGAUAACACCGGAUAAUGUCUUCGGACCAAAGAUUUAUCGCCUUUGGAUGGGCACGCGUUGGAUUAGCUAGUUGGUAGGGUAAAAGCCUACCAAGGCGACGAUCCAUAGCUGGUCUGAGAGGAUGCUCAGCCACUCUGAGACUAAGAAACGGCCCAGACUCCUACGGAAGGCAGGAGAGGGUGAUAUAGCAAAACCGGCGGAGUCAUGAUCCAGCACUGCCGCGUGAGUGAUGAAGGCCUUAGAGAUGUAAAGCGCUUUUAACCGGGAUGGUAAUGACAGUACCGGAAGAAUAAGCCCCGGCUAACUCCGUG
rnacentral:rRNA from 1 species